UGAACAUAGUUUAGUAUGUUUGAGCCCAGGA
rnacentral:piRNA from 1 species